rnacentral:rRNA from 1 species
GACGAACGCUGGCGGCGUGCCUGACACAUGCAAGUCGAGCGAUGAAACCCUUCGGGGUGGAUUAGCGGCGGACGGGUGAGUAACACGUGGGUAACCUGCCUCAAAGAGGGGAAUAGCCUCCCGAAAGGGAGAUUAAUACCGCAUAAUAUGUUUUAAUCGCAUGAUUGAAACAUCAAAGGAGUCUUCUUCUUCGGAAGAAGCAUCCACUUUGAGAUGGACCCGCGGCGCAUUAGCUAGUUGGUGAGGUAACGGCUCACCAAGGCGACGAUGCGUAGCCGACCUGAGAGGUGAUCGGCCACAUUGGAACUGAGAUACGGUCCAGACUCCUACGGGUGGCUG